AUACUUACCUGGCGUAGGGAUACCGUAAUCAUCCGGGUGAGGUCUUCAUCAGGGUGAAGCUGCUCCAUUGCACUGCGGAGUGGUUGACCCUUGCGAUUAUUUUUAUUUUUAAUAAGUUUAAUUUCUACCGUGUGUGACUUGCACACA
rnacentral:snRNA from 9 species